rnacentral:lncRNA from 1 species
AACAAAUCGCCUUGCAGACAAGUCUCAACACAGAACACAUGCUGCUUAUCACUGGCAAAGACUUGCAUCAGCCUGCCACCACGGCUGGCUCAUCUUGUCCCUCCAGGCCUGUGCCUGCUGGAACACUCCCACUCCCCAUGUCUGAAUACACCACUUCGGUUGGACCAAGAGUUUCCAGCUCGGGUGGCCCCUCCUUCCCUGGAAAUAAAUAGCUGCCUAUAGAAUAUCAGAGUCAUUCUGACUCAGGGGUGACUCAGCUCUUCCAUGACCUGUGUUCCCACUUCUCCUUGAUAAGGCCAAUGUUUUGGCCCUACUGGUGAAAAUAUGUAGACCUAACAUCUAUCUCCCUGCUCCAGUUUCAAGAGAAAAGACCUUAUUCAGAGAAAUAUUUAGAAGACUCUUGUGGAAUUCUUGCUGUGAGUGGUUUUUCCUUCCCUGCCAUUGGUGCGACUGUUUCCCCCUUCCGUCAAAUUGCUGUCUAGAUGUUUCUCUCUGACCCCAAUUUUCUCGGAGUUUGGGAUUAUCAAUCUAAAAUCAGAGGUGAGAAUUCAUCAGUGUUAUCGAUAAGACUUUGCAAUUAUUUCUUUCAAACUGAACUUUUUCCCUAUUCACUUAUUUUUCCUCAUUGCAAAAUAAUCAAAGCAUUGAUGAGUGUUUCUGUUUAAAUUCAAAGGACAUUCCACCUUUAACCUUAGCAUUCAUGAGACACAAAAUGGGUUUUUCUUUUUGCUGAUUUAAAAAGCUGCUAUGAAGCUGCACAGUGCGGAAGAGGGCACCCCUGCUCCAGAAAAGAAGAAACAAAACUGCCUGCCAUAGACACUUGGUAGGGAGUGGCAAAUGGAAUCUUGGUUUGUUUUUCUCUUAGGACUUUGACAAUUAUUUUUCCUUGAAAAGAAUAAGAGAAUCUACCUAAAAUAUUAAUACUAGUUUCAGAGCUCUAGGAUAAUAUAGAGCAGAGUCUCUUUUUUUUAAAAAAGGAAAGCGGUUUCAUUUCUGACAGUGGAUUUCUUCCACUGAUGUGCACACUCUUUGACAUGAAAAGCUGCACGAAGCUGCCUUGAAUUCAUUCUGCAGAUGGAAAGUUGCAAGUACGGUAAUUAGCUAAGCAGUGGCAAGGCCGACCAUCUGAGGUUUGAUUUCUCAUCAAGAGAUAGUGUCCGACACACGUGCCACUGAGCAUGCUUGCAGGGAGGAACUUGGAUUGUCCUUCAGUAAAAUUCCACUUUGAUGCGCAAAGCGAACUUGAAUUUCUGCUUGGCCUACCACAGGCCUGCAACAUGCACUUUCUCCUCGAGGGAACUGCCACUCACUGACACGGACAACAGUAAAGGAACUUGGUCUUCACUAUGCCUCAUAGUGGUGGGUCACACUGCCCAGGAGGAACCCGCAAUGAGACCGGCAAAUGCCUUAACCAUCUCAUUGUCUCAUCAGGAAGAAGCUUAAAUGACUCUUCUUGCUCACAUACUUCCUGGGCAAACAUGUCUGCUCUGUUGGGAUAAAGGACGCUCUAGACCAGGCUCUGCUGAAAGAUCCAGGGCAAAGGUUCCUGACAAGACUAUGUCCAGCCUCAAAUAAGGCCACAGAAGAGCCCAGGCUCGCUGACGAGCACCGGCUCCGAGGCAGUCACAUCAGGAGACAGAAACAGACAUGUUGGUGCUGCCCUCUCAGGUCAGUGCAAAUGCCACUUGAGGAGGGCUGAGAGCUUUGCAGCAUAAAAUGACCAGAACAAGGAGAAACACAGAUGCAAUGGCAAUAGCUGGCAAUUCGCACAUGGCGUCAAACACCACUGCCACAGAAGCUUUUUAGCUACAAGCCACGCUAUGCAACCUUUAAGCAAAACAUUAUUGAUUUUGUGGUUGUAAAAACAUACCUUCAACUGCAGAACUCAGUUUUAUGACACCUUGAAUAAAAACAAAAAGUGGCAGUUAUAUAAUGGACCCAAAUCGCCUUUUCCAGGCUUCUCAUAACACACGCAUGCUUCAGAUUUGGAUUUUUCUUUUUCUGCUGGCAUUGCAAGAACGUAACUAAACAAAUAUCAACUUCAAAAAUAAAAUAAUUUUUAGUCUUAACUAGGUCUCAUGGAUGUCUUCUUUUCCCCCACUAAAACCAUUUGGGGAAAUUUUUCACUAAAAAUGGGAUCAAACAUGUUUUUGGAUGGGACAAAGGCCAAGUCUGCCUGAGUGACUAUUUCUGUGUAUAAAUUAUACCAGAUUAUGGAUCAAUAAAAGUUCACACAAUAGGAUGCUAGGGACCAGCACUUCCUCUUUGAUACUGUAUCUAGAGAUCAUCUGAUGCAUGUUAGGACAGAGUUUCUGUUGAAACAUGUAACAGGUGGUUAAAAACCAUGGUGUGAUCUGGUAACUUUCUUCUCUGGGGUGGUUGGGCCAGAGCCCUUUUCUUGGUCUGAUGGGUUUAGAUUUCAGCUCCCUCAAGUCAGAGAGUGAACGGGUUAUCUGAGCAAGUCAAGUUGUUCAUGAAGCAAGUCAGUACCCUUGACUGAUAUUUAUGCACCUUUGCAGUGAAUUUUUUUUUUUUUUGAGACAGAGUCUCGCUCUGUCACCCAGGCUGGAGUGCAGUGGCGCAAUCUCGGAUCUUGGAUCUCGGCUCACUGCAACCUCUGCCUCCUGGGUGGACGCCAUUCUCCUGCCUCAGCCUCCCGAGUGGCUGGGACUACAGGCGCCCGCCAGCACGCCCGGCUAAUUUUUUGUAUUUUUAGUAGAAACAUGGUUUCACUGUA